rnacentral:rRNA from 1 species
UACGUAGGGGGCAAGCGUUGUCCGGAUUUAUUGGGCGUAAAGAGCGUGUAGGCGGCCAGGUAGGUCUGGUGUGAAAACAUCGAGGCUUAACCUCGAGAUGUCAUCGGAAACCAUCUGGCUAGAGUCCGGAAGAGGAGAGUGGAAUUCCUGGAUGGUAGCGGUGAAAUGCGCAGAUAUCAGGAAGAACACCAAUGGCGAAGCAGCUCUCUGGGACGGUACUGACGCUGAGACGACGAAAGCGUGGGGAGCGAACAGG